rnacentral:rRNA from 1 species
UGAGGAAUAUUGGACAAUGGUCGCAAGACUGAUCCAGCCAUGCCGCGUGCAGGAAGACUGCCCUAUGGGUUGUAAACUGCUUUUAUAUAGGAAGAAACAACAUCACGUGUGGUGUUUUGACGGUACUAUAUGAAUAAGCACCGGCUAACUCCGUGCCAGCAGCCGCGGUAAUACGGAGGGUGCAAGCGUUAUCCGGAAUCAUUGGGUUUAAAGGGUCCGUAGGCGGGCUAAUAAGUCAGGGGUGAAAUACCACAGCUCAACUGUGGAACUGCCUUUGAUACUGUUAGUCUUGAAUUAUAUGGAAGUAGAUAGAAUGUGUAGUGUAGCGGUGAAAUGCUUAGAGAUUACACAGAAUACCGAUUGCGAAGGCAGUCUACUACGUAUAUAUUGACGCUAAUGGACGAAAGCGUGGGGAGCGAACA